rnacentral:rRNA from 1 species
AGCUCCAAUAGCGUAUAUUAAAGUUGCUGCAGUUAAAAAGCUCGUAGUUGGAUCUCGGGGUACCUGGUCUAGCCGGUAUAGCUCACGCUAAAACUGGUCUGACCCCCCAACGUGAGGUAUUCGUCUCCGGGUGCACUUCAUUGGGUGCUCGUGAGGGGCCUCGUAGUUACUGUGAAAAAAUUAGAGUGUUCAAAGCAGGCUCAUAUGUUCGGAUAGUCGUGCAUGGAAUAACUGAAUACGUGCCUGGGGAGUUUCAGAUGGGUAUGGGGACUGGUCGAAUGAUUAAGAGGGACAGCCGGGGGCAUUGGUAUGGCGGGGGUAGAGGUGAAAUUCUUGGAUCCUCGCCAGACCAACAAAAGCGAAAGCAUUUGCCAAGAAUGUCUUCA